GAGUUUGAUCCUGGCUCAGAACGAACGUUAGCGGCGCGCUUAACACAUGCAAGUCGAGCGAGAAAGGGGCAACCCCGGUAAAGCGGCGCACGGGUGAGUAACACGUAGGUAAUCUACCCCCAGGUGGUGGAUAACCUUCCGAAAGGAAGGCUAAUACAGCAUGGGACCACGACUCCGAAAGGGGUUGAGGUGAAAGUCGGCCUCUUCCUGAAAGCCGACGCCAGGGGAUGAGCCUGCGGCCCAUCAGCUAGUUGGUAGGGUAAUGGCCUACCAAGGCGAAGACGGGUAGCUGGUCUGAGAGGAUGAUCAGCCUCACUGGAACUGAGACACGGUCCAGACUCCUACGGGAGGCAGCAGUGGGGAAUCUUGCGCAAUGGGCGAAAGCCUGACGCAGCGACGCCGCGUGAGUGAUGAAGGCCCUCGGGUUGUAAAGCUCUGUGGAGGGGGACGAAUAAGCGUUGGUCAAUACCCAGCGUGAUGACGGUACCCUUUUAGCAAGCACCGGCUAACUCUGUGCCAGCAGCCGCGGUAA
rnacentral:rRNA from 1 species